ACGAACGCUGGCGGCGUGCCUAAUACAUGCAAGUCGAACGGAUUAGAGGUUAGGGAUUAGAGGGUAGAUAGAAGGGUCUUUAAGGGAUUCUGACAUCUAACUUCCAAUCUCUAACCACUGGUUAGUGGCGGACGGGUGAGUAACACGUGAGCAACCUACCUCGUACAGGAGGACAACAGUUGGAAACGGCUGCUAAUACUCCAUAAAACCCAAGCCGGCACAUGCCGGAGUGGUCAAAGGUGCAAACCGGUACAAGAUGGGCUCGCGUCCCAUUAGCUAGUUGGCGGGAUAACAGCCCACCAAGGCGACGAUGG
rnacentral:rRNA from 1 species